CCCUGAUAUACUAACACUAGUUGGGAUGGGGUGGGGGGUGGAAUGUGAGUAAUUGCAGCUUGCAGCAUGGAGGAGUACACAUUGCCAACAGGGUGAAAAAAGAGAGCUUAACACAAGCACGGAAAGUCAAUCAUUCCCCGGGGACCUGAGCCCUCGGACCAUGCCUCAGGACUACCUGGCCUGAUGACUCCUUGCUGUCCCCAGUCCACCUGGUCGUGCUGCUGCUCCAGUUUCAACUGUUCUGCCUGCUAUGGAUCCCUGACCUGUUCACUGGACGUCUUACCUUGUCCCAGACCUGCUGUUUUCAACUCUCUAGAGACAGCAAGAGCGGUAGAGAUACUCUGAAUGAUCGGCUAUGAAAAGCCAACUGACAUUUACUCCUGAGGUGCUGACCUGUUGUACCCUCUACAACCACUGUGAUUAUUAUUAUUUGACCCUGCUGGUCAUAUAUGAACAUUUGAACAUCUUGGCCAUGUUCUGUUAUAAUCUCCACCCGGCACAGCCAGAAGAGGACUGUCCACCCCUCAGAGCCUGGAUCCUCUCUAGGUUUCUUCCUAGGUUCUGGCCUUUCUAUGGAGAUUUUCCUAGCCACCGUGCUUCUACACCUGCAUUGCUUACUGUUUGGGGUUUUAGGCUGGGCUUCUGUACAGCACUUUGUGACAUCAGCUGAUGUAAGAAGGGCUUUACAAAUAAAUUUGAUUGAUUGAUAGUUGUAAGGGGUAUACAUUUGAUUGAUUGAUAGUUGUAUGGGUAUGAGUCUCAGGUCUGGAAGGGGGAUUGUGUGUGACCUACAACUGAGUGAAAUCUGGGGUGUAUUUACUAGGAAGCAAAUGGAGAGGGACGAUCUGAACUUGUCCAAUUAGAAACUCUCGUUUCGUUUCAUGGUGUGCCCUAAUGAAUACAACCCUAAAAACGUGCUGCCCUGUCAGUGAGAAUGAUAAUACAUUACCGAAAUACUACUGUUUCUCACACUUAAAAUAUUAUCUGUGAGAAUUUAAACAUGAAACAUAAAACAAUAAAAUGCGACAUUCAAACGUAAUGUACUAAUAGGUACAAUACUAGAACACGUCAAAAUCUGAAGAUGUAGGUCCAGCUAUGUGAUUUCUAUUGAGUCAAAACCAUGUGAAUACAUUUUUCCCCCUCCAAAUGACAACCAAGAAACACAAAGAAACCAGUCAUUUUUUUUGUCUCAACUCUAUUUGAAAGGCUACAACGAAAACAACAUGGAACAGUAUUAUGCCACUGAAAAACUUGUUCAAAACACAUGUAGAUGAGUGCUGCAAGCCAGUUCUGCUCAAUUCAUUUGGAGAAAAUAAUUUCAUGGCUCAUUAGAAAUUGUCAUUGUCAAAUUGUUUGGAAAUAAUAAGAUUUACUGCUAUUUGUCUUUGAAUUUAAAAAUAAACGUUCAUUACUUGUGCUAUGAUGUUUAUCAGUUACAGCUGAACAAAGAAUUCUGAUAUAAACACGGAGAUGGAAUCUAAUAUAGAAACAGUGAGGCUGGACAAUGUUUUCUGCAAUAUUAGACAAAAUAAUGGAAAUAAAUUCAGUUCUUCCACA